UUGGAGGGCAAGUCUGGUGCCAGCAGCCGCGGUAAUUCCAGCUCCAAUAGCGUAUAUUAAAGUUGCUGCAGUUAAAAAGCUCGUAGUUGAAUUUCGGGACCAUCAUGUCGGUCGUGCCUCGGUAUUUACUGGUAUUGUUGGUUUCUCCCUUCUGACGAACCAUGAUGUCAUUUAUUUGGUGUUGUGGGGAAUCAGGACUGUUACUUUGAAAAAAUUAGAGUGUUUAAAGCAGGCUCACGCUUGAAUACAUUAGCAUGGAAUAAUGAAAUAGGACGUUUGAUUCUAUUUUGUUGGUUUCUAGGAUCGACGUAAUGAUUAAUAGGGAUAGUUGGGGGCAUUAGUAUUCAAUUGUCAGAGGUGAAAUUCUUGGAUUUAUUGAAGACUAACUACUGCGAAAGCAUUUGCCAAGGAUGUUUUCGUUAAUCAAGAACGAAAGUUAGGGGAUCGAAGACGAUCAGAUACCGUCGUAGUCUUAACCAUAAACUAUGCCGACUAGGGAUCGGAUGAUGUUAAUUUUUUAAUGACUCAUUCGGCGCCUUACGGGAAAC
rnacentral:rRNA from 1 species